rnacentral:rRNA from 1 species
CCUACGGGUGGCAGCAGUGGGGAAUAUUGCACAAUGGGGGAAACCCUGAUGCAGCGACGCCGCGUGAGUGAAGAAGUAUUUCGGUAUGUAAAGCUCUAUCAGCAGGGAAGAAAUAGCGACCUUUGGGUCGCCAGACGGUACCUGAUUAAGAAGCCCCGGCUACCUACGUGCCAGCAGCCGCGGUAAUACGUAGGGGGCAAGCGUUAUCCGGAUUUACUGGGUGUAAAGGGAGCGUAGACGGCAGCGCAAGUCUGAAGUGAAAUGCCGGGGCUCAACUGCGGUAGUGCAUUUGGAACUGUAUGGCUGGAGUGCAGGAGAGGCAGGCGGAAUUCCUAGUGUAGCGGUGAAAUGCGUAGAUAUUAGGAGGAACACCAGUGGCGAAGGCGGCCUGCUGGACUGUAACUGACGUUGAGGCUCGAAAGCGUGGGGAGCAAACAGGAUUAGAUACCCCAGUAGUC